rnacentral:rRNA from 1 species
CCUACGGGAGGCAGCAGUGGGGAAUUUUCCGCAAUGGGGGAAACCCUGACGCAGCAAUACCGCGUGAACGACGAAGCUCUUCGGAGUGUAAAGUUCUGUCAGUGGGGACGAAUUUUUGACGGUACCCACAAAGGAAGCAUCGGCUAACUACGUGCCAGCAGCCGCGGUAAGACGUAGGAUGCAAGCGUUGUCCGGAAUCAUUGGGCGUAAAGCGUUCGUAGGCGGUAUGUCAAGUCUGAUGUUAAAGCCCGGAGCUCAACUCCGGUUCGGCAUUGGAUACUGGCAAACUAGAGUGCAAUAGAGGUAAGGGGAAUUCCUAGUGUAGCGGUGAAAUGCGUAGAUAUUAGGAGGAACACCGGUGGCGAAAGCGCCUUACUGGGUUGUAACUGACGCUGAGGAACGAAAGCCAGGGUAGCAAAUGGGAUUAGAUACCCCUGUAGUC